GACAUUAGAUACCCGUGUAGUCCAGGGUGUAAACGCUGCAGACUUGGUGUUGGGAACCCUUCGGGGGUGCUCAGUGCCGGAGAGAAGUUGUUAAGUCUGCUACUUGGGAGUACGUCCGCAAGGAUGAAACUUAAAGGAAUUGGCGGGGGAGCACCGCAACGGGAGGAGCGUGCGGUUUAAUUGGAUUCAACGCCGAAAAACUCACCAGCAGCGACUGUUACAUGAAAGUCAGGUUGAUGACCUUACUAGAUUUUCAG
rnacentral:rRNA from 1 species